CAACGUCGCCUCAUCGCUUCAUCUCACCUCCACCUCACCUCUUUUCUUAUUGACUUCUUCUCUCUCCUUCUUCUUCUUCUUAUUCCCAUCUCUCUUCCAGGUUGUCUCUUUUGUCACGACAACCUUCUUGACGACCAUCUACCUCUACCUACAAUAGUCGCUUCCGUCGUCUUCCGCUCACUUGUUUUCGUUUUUCUAUCGUUCCCGCUUUCCAACUUGUGGGAACACCAUCGUUCGUUGCAUCUUCAUCACCAGCUUAUCCGUGCCGUAAUCAACUACUGCCACGUUACUCCGCUCGCUCUUCUGCUCUAUUCGGUCGAUCUUUUACGAAACUCUUCCUCGAUCGUUGACUCGACAACCUUCGUGUGUGGCACAUUGCAUCCAGCAGGCCUAGCCCAGGAACGAUCACUCUCCCUUGAACGAAGUCAAAAUAAUCCCAUCCAUCGAUCCAUCGAUCGAUCCCUCCACUUCGACCUCGUUUCAUCUUUUCGGUUGCAUUGAUAAUAAUAUACAGGACACAGGUGCUCUGGAGUACCUGAUUCCUCUUCGAGCAGAGGGCAUCUCUGUGUUGAAUGCUGCACAUCAUUUAAUCCCCUUCGCUUCCUCCCCCCAAAUUCACCAUGAAGCCCCUCGCAAUUCUCUCAUUUUUCGUCGCCUUCCUCCCACUCACCCCUUAUGUCUCGGCUGUAAAAUUGAUCCGGUCGGAUUCCCUUAUGCCUUGCCAGGACAACUCCAACUUCACCACUAGCUUAUUCAAUAUCCUCCUCACUCCUGACAACAAUACUCUCCAUGUGCAAGUUAUUGGCGUCUCGUCAAUUACCGGCUACGUUACCGCAGACGCCCGAGUGUUCGCCUAUGGACACCAAAUAUUGAGGGAGACCCUCAAUCCCUGUACAGUGAAAGGCUUUGAUUUAGAAUCCCUCUGCCCCAUGCAGGCCGGCCCCAUCAAUUACGACUUCAACCUCCCAAAUCUUUCCAAGGACGCACUCGACAAUGUUCCAACUGUUGCAUACGGAGUACCCGAUAUCGAUCUUAAGAUCAGAGUCUAUAUCAAUCAAACCAACACCGACAAAAGCAUUGCUUGUCUAGAAGCCCGACUUUCCAAUGGCAAUACUGUCUAUCAAAAGGCCGUGGGUUGGAUUGUCGCCAUAAUUGCUGGUCUUGGAUUGGUUGCCUCUGCCAUCACAUCUGGGCUAGGCCACUCGAAUACCGCUGCCCAUGUUGCAGCUAAUGCGCUAUCACUAUUUGGGUUCUUCCAAGCCCAGGCCAUGAUCGGAAUGUCCAGUGUCAGUCUCCCACCAAUCGUGCAGUCUUGGACUCAAAACUUCCAGUGGAGCAUGGGCAUCAUCCGUGUCGAAUUUCUACAACGCAUUUGCACUUGGUACCAACGAUCGACUGGUGGCCGGCCAUCGACAGUUUUGUCUACGCUCGGAUCCACUUCCGUUCAUGUGCAGAAGCGCGCCAUUGAAUGGGGCAACAAAAUUAUUUCCAAUGUUCCUAGUCGACUUUUGAAACGGACAAAUAAUGAUAACACUAUCAACGAGAAGGUGACAACCACCAUUGUUCGGGGCAUUGAAAGAGUUGGUUUCCGCGCGAAUAUCGAAAUGACAAACAUCUUCAUGACUGGCUUGAUCUUUUUUGUCUUUUUUGUCGUUCUUGUCCUGGGACUGGUAGCGUUAUUCAAGGGUUAUUGCGAAGUCGCGUCGAAGAAAGGAUGGAUUAAGGGUGGUAAGUUUCAAGAUUUCCGAAACGGAUGGAAGAUUAUCAUGAGAGGCAUUCUGUUCCGCUUGGUACUUAUUGGCUUCCCCCAAAUGUGCAUUCUCUGCCUAUGGGAGCUCACUAGGCGAGAUUCGCCUGCUGAAGUUGUUUUGGCCGUGUUCAUGCUCAUUUCGAUGGCUGCGUCUCUCGGUUUCGCUGCGUUUACUGUCAUUCGCCUGGCCAAGAGGUCGGUGGAGCUCCAUAAAAAUCCAGCUUAUAUCUUAUACUCAGAUCCUGCGGCUUUGAACAAAUGGGGUUUCCUCUAUGUUCAGUACAGGGCAACGGCCUACUACUGCGUCAUCCCCGUCCUAGUCUAUAUUUUGGUCAAGAGCAUGUUCAUUGGGUUGGCACAGCCGGCUCCCCUUGUUCAAGCUGUCGCUCUCCUUAUUAUUGAAGCGGCCGUUUUGAUCGCUGCCAGUGUACUGAGGCCAUGGAUGGACAAAAAAACCAAUAUUUUCAACAUCUCAAUCGCCGCGGUCAACUUCUUCAAUGUCAUCCUUCUCCUCUUCUUCACCCAAGUAUUUAAUCAGCCCGGUCUUGUCACUGGCAUCAUGGGCGUUGUCUUUUUCGUUGUCAAUGCAGUAUUCGCCCUUAUCCUGCUUAUUUUGGUCCUCAUCUCGUCCGUGUAUGCUAUCGUGUCUAAGAAUCCAGAUACGCGAUACCAGCCCAUGAGAGACGACCGCGGAUCCUUUAUUAAAUCCCAGACUCAGCUGACAACCGAGCUCGAUGCUCUUGGAGCGACCGCUCGUGGUGAAACGAAAUCAUUUGAGGACUCGUCCUCGCUAUCCGGCUUUUACCCUAACAGGGCAGAUUCCCCAGCACAAAGCCUACAGCGUCAACAGCCACACUCUCCGCUGGAAUCAUCUAUGCCUUUAUUCCCUGCCGACAGCUCUGCUCGUGGUGCCCCACCUCCAACAUAUCAAACCCAGGCUCCAUACUCUCGAGCACAAAACAUAUCGCCUGCGCCCCGAAACAUUACCACAUCUCCUUUCCCAAGCUCUCCAUCGGCGACUUCGAAUCCGGCUCAAUAUAGGAUGAACAACAACAGUAGUCCAUGGCAACGCGGCGCAGGAUACGAGCAUUGAGGUUUUGGAGAAUGGAUGAUGCUGGCAUUUGCCCUUAUUCCAAAAAAUGAAGAGAUGACCCGGGUCAGCUCUAAGGCUGGGAAAUAGCUUUGUCCUUUUCCUUAUUUUAUUUUCACAAUAACAUAUUCUCGCGGGUUGGACUUGUUUGGCGUUAAUCAUGUUACUUAAAGGCUAUUUUUUAUCUUCCGUUUUACUAUUUUUUAUUUAUCGUAAGCUCUUGCUCUUUGAAUGAACUUGAAACAUUCAAUCCCGUCCUCACCCCACAGAUUAUACACUUAGCUUUCCCUCCUUGCAACCCACUCUACUGAUUUUUGUUUUUCCUAUAUUCUCUUUAGGCGUUCGAUGUGGUAUACAUUUCUGUAAUCUGUGGAAAAGAAACCAAGUUUGUUGCAUAUAUUUUUGUCUCCUUAUUUUUAUCCCGCCUUUCAUUCUUUAAUAUUUAACUUUUCCUUGUUGGUCUCUGUACAAUCUCUUAUUUUUGUAAACUCUUGUUUUCCAAAAGGAAAAAAUUCCUUGAAGCUCAACCACUCUCCUUGUCUUUAUACAUACUGUACAUACAUUUGGAAAUAAUCUUUCAUGUACAUAUGCUCAUUUAAAACCUUAUUUAAAUUUUGAUUUAAUUAUUCUGUCUAAGCGAA
rnacentral:sRNA from 2 species